UACGAGGGGGGCAAGCGUUGUUCGGAAUUAUUGGGCGUAAAGGGCGCGUAGGCGGUUUGGCAAGUUUGGUGUGAAAUCUUCGGGCUCAACUCGAAGUCUGCAUCGAAAACUGCCGGGCUUGAGUAUGGGAGAGGUGAGUGGAAUUUCCGGUGUAGCGGUGAAAUGCGUAGAUAUCGGAAGGAACACCUGUGGCGAAAGCGGCUCACUGGACCAUUACUGACGCUGAGGCGCGAAAGCUAGGGGAGCAAACGGG
rnacentral:rRNA from 1 species